GAUGAACGCUGGCGGCGUGCCUAAUACAUGCAAGUCGAGCGAACAGAUAAGGAGCUUGCUCCUUUGACGUUAGCGGCGGACGGGUGAGUAACACGUGGAUAACCUACCUAUAAGACUGGGAUAACUUCGGGAAACCGGAGCUAAUACCGGAUAACAUAUUGAACCGCAUGGUUCAAUAGUGAAAGGCGGCUUUGCUGUCACUUAUAGAUGGAUCCGCGCCGUAUUAGCUAGUUGGUAAGGUAACGGCUUACCAAGGCAACGAUACGUAGCCGACCUGAGAGGGUGAUCGGCCACACUGGAACUGAGACACGGUCCAGACUCCUACGGGAGGCAGCAGUAGGGAAUCUUCCGCAAAGGGCGAAAGCCUGACGGAGCAACGCCGCGUGAGUGAUGAAGGUCUUCGGAUCGUAAAACUCUGUUAUCAGGGAAGAACAAAUGUGUAAGUAGCUGUGCACAUCUUGACGGUACCUGAUCAGAAAGCCACGGCUAACUACGUG
rnacentral:rRNA from 1 species